UACGUAGGGUGCGAGCGUUGUCCGGAAUUAUUGGGCGUAAAGAGCGUGUAGGCGGCCAGACAGGUCCGUUGUGAAAACUCGAGGCUCAACCUCGAGACGUCGACGGAAACCGUCUGGCUAGAGUCCGGAAGAGGAGUGUGGAAUUCCUGGUGUAGCGGUGAAAUGCGCAGAUAUCAGGAAGAACACCUAUGGCGAAGGCAGCACUCUGGGACGGUACUGACGCUGAGACGCGAAAGCGUGGGGAGCGAACAGG
rnacentral:rRNA from 1 species